rnacentral:rRNA from 1 species
AGAGUUUGAUCCUGGCUCAGAACCACUACUGGUAGCGUGGAUUAGGCAUGCAAGUCGAACGGGAUCAGGAGGAUAGCAAUAUUCUUCUGUGAGAGUGGCGGAUUGGGGAGGAACACGUGAGCAACCUGCCUUUGAGUGGGGGAAAACCGUUGGAAACGACGGCUAAUACCGCAUGUGGCGUCCGGUGGCAUCAUCGGAACGCUAAAGGGGGCCGCAAGGCUCUCGCUCUUAGAGGGGCUCGCGCACCAUCAGCUUGUUGGCGGGGUAACGGCCCACCAAGGCUUACGGUUAGCUGGUCUGAGAGGAUGACCAGCCCCACUGGGACUGAGAUACUGCCCAGACUCCUACGGGAGGCUGCAGUCGAGGAUCAUUUGCAAUGGGCGAAAGCCUGACAAUGCGACGCUGCGUGGAGGAUGAAGGCCUUCGGGUUGUAAACUCCUGUCAUAGUGGAACAGGCGAGGGUGGCCAAUACCCACCUUAGUUGAGUGUACAUUAAGAGGAAGCGACGGCUAACUCUGUGCCAGCAGCCGCGGUAAUACAGAGGUCGCAAGCGUUGUUCGGAUUUACUGGGCGUAAAGGGCGCGUAGGCGGUCUAGUGUGUCAGAUGUGAAAUCUCCGGGCUCAACCCGGAAAGUGCGUCUGAAACUGCUGGACUCGAGUCCGGGAGAGGGAAUCGGAAUAUAGGGUGUAGCGGUGAAAUGCGUUGAUAUCCUAUAGAACACCGGAGGCGAAGGCGGAUUCCUGGAACGGUACUGACGCUGAGGCGCGAAAGUCGGGGGAGCAAACAGGAUUAGAUACCCUGGUAGUCCCGCCCUAAAACGGCGCCCACUAGAGGGGGGGGGAUUUCCCCCCUCCCGUUUUUAAGCUAACGCUUUAAGUGUCCCGCGGGGGGAGUACGCCCGCAGGCUAAAAACUCAAAGAAAUUGGGGGGGCCCCGCACAAGCAGAGGAGCAUGUGGCUUAAUUCGAUGCAACGCGAAGACCCUUACCUGGAUUUGACAUCGUCGGCAAUCCCCUAUGAAAGUAGGGCGGAGUUUAUCCGAUAGACAGGUGCUGCAUGGCUGUCGUCAGUUCGUCCCGUGAGGUGUUUGGUAAAGUCCACCAACGAGCGCACCCCUCACGGAAGGUUGCCAGCGUAAAGUCGGGAACUCUUUCGGAACUGCCUAUGUAAGUAGGAGGAAGGUGGGGAUGACGUCAAGUCAGCAUGGCCCUUACGCCUGGGGCUACACACAUGCUACAAUGGGUGAACAAAGGGACGCAAUACCGCGAGGUGGAGCAAAUCUCAAAAAUACACUCUCAGUUCAGAUUGCAGUCUGCAACUCGACUGCAUGAAGUCGGAAUCGCUAGUAAACGCAGGUCAGCUAAACUGCGUUGAAUACGUUCCCGGGCCUUGCACACACCGACCGUCA